GGGCCAUAGCUCAGUGGUAGUGCUUCUGUUUUGCACACAGAAGGUCCCUGGUUCAAUCCCCAGCAUCUCCA